UACGGGGGGGGUAAGCGUUGUUCGGAAUUACUGGGCGUAAAGGGCUCGUAGGCGGCCAACUAAGUCAUACGUGAAAUCCCUCAGCUUAACUGGGGAACUGCGUGUGAUACUGGAUGGCUUGGAUUUGGGAGAGGGAUGCGGAAUUCCGGGUGUAGCGGUGGAAUGCGUAGAGAUCCGGAGGAAUACCAGAGGCGAAGGCGGCCAACUGGGCUUGUUCUGACGCUGAGGUGCGAAAGCGUGGGGAGCGAACAGG
rnacentral:rRNA from 1 species